GACGAACGCUGGCGGCGUGCCUAAUACAUGCAAGUAGAACGCUGAAGGAGGAGCUUGCUUCUCUGGAUGAGUUGCGAACGGGUGAGUAACGCGUAGGUAACCUGCCUGGUAGCGGGGGAUAACUAUUGGAAACGAUAGCUAAUACCGCAUAAGAGUAGAUGUCGCAUGACAUUUGCUUAAAAGGUGCAAUUGCAUCACUACCAGAUGGACCUGCGUUGUAUUAGCUAGUUGGUGAGGUAACGGCUCACCAAGGCAACGAUACAUAGCCGACCUGAGAGGGGGGUCGGCCACACUGGGACUGAGACACGGCCCAGACUCCUACGGGAGGCAGCAGUAGGGAAUCUUCGGCAAUGGACGGAAGUCUGACCGAGCAACGCCGCGUGAGUGAAGAAGGUUUUCGGAUCGUAAAGCUCUGUUGUAAGAGAAGAACGAGUGUGAGAGUGGAAAGUUCACACUGUGACGGUAUCUUACCAGAAAGGGACGGCUAACUACGUG
rnacentral:rRNA from 1 species